rnacentral:rRNA from 1 species
UACUCGAGUGGCGAACGGGUGAGUAACACGUGGGUGAUCUGCCCUGCACUCUGGGAUAAGCCUGGGAAACUGGGUCUAAUACCGGAUAGGACCGCACUUUAGCGUGUGUGGUGGAAAGCUUUUUCGGUGUAGGAUGAGCCCGCGGCCUAUCAGCUUGUUGGUGGGGUAAUGGCCUACCAAGGCGGCGACGGGUAGCCGGACUGAGAGGUUGGUCGGCCACAUUGGGACUGAGAUACGGCCCAG